UCCCUACCUCAGCAACCGCUCCCCAGAUGUUGACAGAGACACUGUGGUGGUUACAAAGGUCAGCAUGAGUGUUCGUGAGAGCUCACGUGUUUAUUUUGGGGGUACGGACCCUGAACUCCAGAAGUGCAGAGACCUGGUCCAGUUUGAUUGAUGUCCACUGGGCUGGUGUCUGUCGCUAUCAUCACUCAGCCUCUGGCAGGCUCGGUCCCUACUUGCCAGCUUGAAGCAAACAGCCUGCACCUGCAGAAGAUAAAAUAUACUCCCCAGCUGACUCGGGCACACCCCUCUGCCUGAGUUGUGUGCUCACCAGACAUCCUGCUAUCUUCCAAAGACGUCCUGUUAUUCAGGCAGCUACCCCAGCUGGCUGGUGCAAUCCUGACCCUGUCCCUAUAUAAGAGAACUUAAAUGCUCCCUAGAGGCUGACACCCACACACUGGUCUCAGCCCACUGUGAGAGAUGUAA